rnacentral:rRNA from 1 species
AGAACGAACGCUGGCGGCAGGCCUCAAACAUGCAAGUCUAGGGGGUGUAGCAAUACAUCACCGGCGGACGGGUGCGUAACACGUGGGAAUAUACCUUUUGGUUCGGAACAACGCAGGGAAACUUGCGCUAAUACCGAAUGUGCCCUUACGGGGAAAGAUUUAUCGCCAAAGGAUUAGCCCGCGUAGGAUUAGCUAGUUGGUGAGGUAAUGGCUCACCAAGGCUCCGAUCCUUAGCUGUUCUGAGAGGAAGAUCAGCCACACUGGGACUGAGACACGGCCCAGACUCCUACGGGAGGCAGCAGUUGGGAAUCUUGGACAAUGGGGAAACCCUGAUCCAGCCAUGCCGCGUGAGUGAUGAAGGCCUUCGGGUUGUAAAACUCUUUCGACGGGGACAUAAUGACGGUACCCGUAGAAGAAGCUCCGGCUAACUUCGUGCCAGCAGCCGC